GCAACGUGGCAAUUUUUUAUUGGACCCCAGAUUCAGUACUUGCAGAUGCCUUUCGUUAUUUUUGUGUAUAUAUAUAUAUAUUUAUUAAAAUGCUGCGAAAACAUAGGGAGAGAUAUCUUUGAAACAAGUAUCGGUCGAGAUCCGGCGAUUUUCGUCGGAUUUCGUCCAAUUUUCGCUCUAACUUUUCAUAAAAUAAGAUGAAGGGGUCCAGCGCUCUGGUUGCUACGGUGGUGGUUGCCUCCACCGUGGCUCUCACGUCAUCUUCCUCUACUAGAGAAGCUGAUAUGAGGAAGGGAUUUUGUUCAUCUGAGCGAAAUGGUCAGCCGAGUAGCAGUACAUCGUCAGAAAAGGAGAAAUUCGCGCCAAGAUUUGACGGAUUGAGGUUCAUAGAGACAUUAGUAACUGCCCACAGGUGAAACUCACAAUUGAAUAGCCCACCGGCCUUCGUUGUGGUUUGUAGUCUUAGAUACUAAUUUUUUUUUCUUUUGGGUUAUUAAGAGUAAAUCAAUGAGUCUUUUUUGUGCUUGGGGCCGGGGCCUUUUUGUUUAUUGAUGAGAUCAGUUCCAAAGCGUGAGGGUAGCAAUUUGUUUUGUCAUUGUACUCUUGUUGAUUUGGAUCUUAAUAGCGUGGCAUCUUUACUUAGUGGGGUGAAGGUUUUAGCUUUCUGUCCGUAUUAGAUGCUUGGAAAUUACGCAUACAACCUGUUUGCUAAAAUAAUUGUUUUUAUUAAUAAUAUAUUAAAUUUUUAAUUUUAA